rnacentral:rRNA from 1 species
UACAGAGGGUGCGAGCGUUAAUCGGAAUUACUGGGCGUAAAGCGUGUGUAGGUGGUUGUAUAAGUUAGAUGUGAAAGCCCCGGGCUUAACCUGGGAAUUGCGUUUAAGACUGUAUGACUAGAGUACUGUAGAGGAUAGUGGAAUUUCCAGUGUAGCGGUGAAAUGCGUAGAUAUUGGAAGGAACACCAGUGGCGAAGGCGACUAUCUGGAUAGAUACUGACACUGGGACACGAAAGCGUGGGGAGCAAACAGG